rnacentral:rRNA from 1 species
UCCGGGAAAAGACAACAGGGAUGCCUUAGUAACGGCGAGUGAAGCGGCAACAGCUCAGAUUUGAAAUCUGGCCCUUUCAGGGUCCGAGUUGUAAUCUGUAGAAGAUGCCUCGGCGUCGCCCCGGUCUAAGUUCCUUGGAACAGGCCGUCACAGAGGGUGAGAAUCCCGUACGUGACCGGUGGCUCAUCCGUGUGAGGCUCCUUCAACGAAUCGAGUUGUUUGGCUGGCAGCUCUAAAUGGGAGGUUCUUUCUUCUAAAGCUAAAUAUUGGCCAGAGACCGAUAGCGCACAAGUAGAGUGAUCGAAAGAUGAAAAGCACUUUGGAAAUAGAGUUAAAAAGCACGUGAAAUUGUUGAAAGGGAAGCGCUUGCAACCAGACUUGCCCGCAAUUGCUCAACCGGUCUCCCGGCCGGUGUACUCUUCUGCGGUCAGGCCAGCAUCAUUUCGGGCGGUCGGAUAAAGGCCCCGGGAAUGUGGCCUCCUUCGGGGGGUGUUAUAGCCCGGGGCGGAAUGCGGCCUGCCUGGACUGAGGUCCGCGCUUCGGCUAGGAUGCUGGCGUAAUGGUUGUAAGCGGCCCGUCUUGAAAAACGGACC